rnacentral:rRNA from 1 species
GACGAACGCUGGCGGCGUGCCUAAUACAUGCAAGUUGAGCGCUGAAGGUUGGUACUUGUACCAACUGGAUGAGCAGCGAACGGGUGAGUAACGCGUGGGGAAUCUGCCUUUGAGCGGGGGACAACAUUUGGAAACGAAUGCUAAUACCGCAUAAAAACUUUAAACACAAGUUUUAAGUUUGAAAGAUGCAAUUGCAUCACUCAAAGAUGAUCCCGCGUUGUAUUAGCUAGUUGGUGAGGUAAAGGCUCACCAAGGCGAUGAUACAUAGCCGACCUGAGAGGGUGAUCGGCCACAUUGGGACUGAGACACGGCCCAAACUCCUACGGGAGGCAGCAGUAGGGAAUCUUCGGCAAGGGACGAAAGUCCGACCGAGCAACGCCGCGUGAGUGAAGAAGGUUGUCGGAUCGUAAAACUCUGUUGGUAGAGAAGAACGUUGGUGAGAGUGGAAAGCUCAUCAAGUGACGGUAACUACCCAGAAAGGGACGGCUAACUACGUG